GGAUGAACGCUAGCUACAGGCUUAACACAUGCAAGUCGAGGGGCAGCAUGGUCUUAGCUUGCUAAGGCCGAUGGCGACCGGCGCACGGGUGAGUAACACGUAUCCAACCUGCCGUCUACUCUUGGACAGCCUUCUGAAAGGAAGAUUAAUACAAGAUGGCAUCAUGAGUCCGCAUGUUCACAUGAUUAAAGGUAUUCCGGUAGACGAUGGGGAUGCGUUCCAUUAGAUAGUAGGCGGGGUAACGGCCCACCUAGUCUUCGAUGGAUAGGGGUUCUGAGAGGAAGGUCCCCCACAUUGGAACUGAGACACGGUCCAAACUCCUACGGGAGGCAGCAGUGAGGAAUAUUGGUCAAUGGGCGAGAGCCUGAACCAGCCAAGUAGCGUGAAGGAUGACUGCCCUAUGGGUUGUAAACUUCUUUUAUAAAGGAAUAAAGUCGGGUAUGGAUACCCGUUUGCAUGUACUUUAUGAAUAAGGAUCGGCUAACUCCGUGCCAGCAGCCGCGGUAAUACGGAGGAUCCGAGCGUUAUCCGGAUUUAUUGGGUUUAAAGGGAGCGUAGAUGGAUGUUUAAGUCAGUUGUGAAAGUUUGCGGCUCAACCGUAAAAUUGCAGUUGAUACUGGAUAUCUUGAGUGCAGUUGAGGCAGGCGGAAUUCGUGGUGUAGCGGUGAAAUGCUUAGAUAUCACGAAGAACUCCGAUUGCGAAGGCAGCCUGCUAAGCUGCAACUGACAUUGAGGCUCGAAAGUGUGGGUAUCAAACAGGAUUAGAUACCCUGGUAGUCCACACGGUAAACGAUGAAAUACUCGCUGUUUGCGAUAUACUGCAAGCGGCCAAGCGAAAGCGUUAAGUAUUCCACCUGGGGGAGUACGCCGGCAACGGUGAAACUCAAAGGAAUUGACGGGGGCCCGCACAAGCGGAGGAACAUGUGGUUUAAUUCGAUGAUACGCGAGGAACCUUACCCGGGCUUAAAUUGCAGAUGAAUUACGGUGAAAGCCGUAAGCCGCAAGGCAUCUGUGAAGGUGCUGCAUGGUUGUCGUCAGCUCGUGCCGUGAGGUGUCGGCUUAAGUGCCAUAACGAGCGCAACCCUUGUUGUCAGUUACUAACAGGUUCCGCUGAGGACUCUGACAAGACUGCCAUCGUAAGAUGUGAGGAAGGUGGGGAUGACGUCAAAUCAGCACGGCCCUUACGUCCGGGGCUACACACGUGUUACAAUGGGGGGUACAGAGGGCCGCUACCACGCGAGUGGAUGCCAAUCCCCAAAACCUCUCUCAGUUCGGACUGGAGUCUGCAACCCGACUCCACGAAGCUGGAUUCGCUAGUAAUCGCGCAUCAGCCACGGCGCGGUGAAUACGUUCCCGGGCCUUGUACACACCGCCCGUCAAGCCAUGGGAGCCGGGGGUACCUGAAGUGCGUAACCGCGAGGAGCGCCCUAGGGUAAAACUGGUGACUGGGGCUA
rnacentral:rRNA from 1 species